AGUAUACCUCUAUCUAUGGAGAGAACUCGGUGCGAACACGCGUGUUUAUACUUAUGAAUCAGGUGUUUGCAAUUCAACUGCUCAAUGCUAAAAACAUUAUACAUUAUUUCGAUGGUGAAUUUAAAAUAUUGAUGUAGCUACAUAAUACAUCAUGACUUCCGGUUGAAAUUGUUCGAUAAGCGAAUACCAAUAAACCAUAUACAACAAUAUGUAUAACACAUGUAUAGAAAAUUCAAAAUACCUACCACUACGAU